CGGUAAGCUUCAGCAUUACUAGAAUUAUUUACAUAUUGAUUGAUGGAGGACGCCAACAUGGUGCAUGAUACCUCAUACAUUUUUGGUAUUUACUUGUCUUUAUCUAUGUAUCUGAGUAAGCAGCGGCUGUUCGAGUUUGACGAAAGGUGGAAAUUUCUCUUGUUUACGGAAAGCACAAUCCUUAGAGUGAAUAAAUUGAACGGAUCAUAGGCAUUGAACAGCGAUAAGGAUUCUUCGGAAAGAUAAGGUAAUACCAACUAAUAUAGUGGUUUCGUCGGAGUUUGGAUAUAGUGCAACUGAUGGUCUUGUUUGGAUUUUCCGCUGUUGAUUAUGGAAUGUGAUAUUUGUAACAAGAGGGAGCACAAACUAUUCGCCUGUGAUGGCUGCUCACUGAGAACAUGCACUAAAUGAGCAAGGUUGACCUCAUCGGAAUUAAAAGUUCUGGAAUUGAAAGCUCGACUAGUAAAGAUGACACAAUUCAACUUCUGAGGCAGAGGCUUGCGGAACUGGAAUUGAAGCUGGCAGAAAGAGCCGACCUUGGGAUGAAAAACUAUAGCCAGGUUGUUAAGCAGACUGGAUGUGUUGCUGGGCAGGUCUUGUUAGUGAAACCUAAGAGUGAUCAGCCUAGUAGGACUACUAAGAAGGACAUCAGGCGAAACGUUAACUCUACUAGCAUUAAAGUAUCGCAAUUCCGACAUGUUGGCAUGGGCAAAGAGACCAUAUGGAUACUCUCUGCAAGCAGUUUGAGAGCCAGGUGGGUGAUGGAUAUACUGUCAGUGUUCCGACAUUAAAGAAACCGAAAUUGAAAGUUAUUAACAUUAUUGAGUUUCUUCUGAGGUACUCAAUUGAUCACACAGAGUAAUGAUAAUAAAUGUUUAUUGGACGUGAUAAUAACAAAAGACAAAAAACGUUAGAAUAUCGUGACGAUCAAGUAAACGCAGUUACUUUCCGGGAGUGUUGUCACUUUACUAAAAACUACAACGUCGCAGCGGUCAGUGCAUCCCUAAACAUAUGAUGCUACCUGAGGACUCCAACACAUGCAACACAUUUGAGAAAGCUAGGUAGCUUAGCGGUGCAUACGGAGGUUAGUCAGUGUUUUCAUUCAAGAAAUAUGCAACGGCUUUGUUGUUCGCCCGGCAGAGUGGCGUUUAGAUUGGAGUCUGUUCGGCCGUGAGCGUUUUUAUGUGCACGUUCCAUUUUUUGUCUAGUUUUUAAGGUUUCAUUUUCUUUUUUCCUCCAUGUUGAUACUGUAUUUUUCAUGUCAGGUUGGCCUUAGCAGCUCCAUCUUUAAGAUGGACGCUGAUUGGCCCUUAUUUUUGGCGCCAGCUUAUUGUUUUAUGUAUGUUAAAGUGUUUAUAUUAUUUUGUAUUAUAAGUUUAUAUUAUUGUGUUUUAAAGAUAUAUGUUAGUUUUA
rnacentral:lncRNA from 1 species